CUAGCUCUCCCUGAGCUCCAGCCCCUGGAACGCCCUCCUCCCCCAUCAGCUCCUCCCCCAAGCUGGCUUCUCACCCCCAAGGACAGGCAGCCCCGCAGGUGUGCUUCUCACGCGCCACUUCCCCAAGCAGCUUCUAGAAGGCGGUGUUUCAGCGCCUCUGCGGUUCUCCCUCUGCUCUUGCCGUUAGCACGUUUGCCUGCUCGCCCACGGGCGGCACGCAGAGGGGACUCGGGGGCUGCUGGCCUGCAGGUCAGGAGGGCGAGCCGCCUUACCAGUCCUCCUCGCCCCUGCACAUCCGCCCGACUGCCACCUGCCCGGGGUGGGGGCUGGGCCGGGGAGGCCGGCUGGCGGCGGCACGUGGGCGCGCGGGGCCUUUGGCGGGGCCGUGCCUGCGUGUGCAUCUGGACGUGCAGCGCGUGGGGUGUGUCCUGUCUCCCGGCGCGUCUCCCUGUGCGUCUGGACGUGCGGCACGUGGGGUGUGCCCGCCGGGUGCAUCGUGUCUCCCGGCGCGUGUGUGUGCGUCUCCCUGUGCGGGCGGAGAUGCCGGGCGUGGCGUCUUCUGCGACCCCGGAGCGGCUGUCUGUGACAUUCUUCCCUCUAAACUGGGAAGGUGAAGCCCAGUCGCCAGCCCUCAGCCCCGCUCGGGCAGGCAGGAGGUGCUCAGGAAGCCAGCGAGCCAACAGCCAGCCCAGCCCUGCCGCAGCAACACCCACAUAGGGCCCGAGAAACCAAGGGCCAGGGAGGU
rnacentral:lncRNA from 1 species